rnacentral:misc_RNA from 1 species
GAAUUUGUUCGCUGCAAGUCCUGCAAAGUUUAAUCAUCGGAUUCUUAAUUCACAGACUAGUGGACUCUAGUCAAUGAAAAGAAAAAGAACAAGUCCAUAACCCUUGUAUGCUAACCAACUUUGUCUAAUAUUAAUAUAUUUCAGCAUCGUAACCAUUGUUCUAAUCUAUAAAUGAAAAUAGCCAAAUUCAUUAAAUUCAGAUUGCAUUUUGGAAUUUAGACAUGCAUAGCUACAAUAAUAAUAUAAUCCAAAUGGGCGUCCAGCCUCCAUGCCAUAUGAAACACUCCCAUUUGGCGACUACACACACAUGCAUAUAUAUUUAUAUAACACGAGAUAAACUAAUCAUAGAUGGCCAAUUAAAGAAACAAUUGUAAACCUAUAUGUUACAAGGAAACCAACACUGUACCUGAAGUAUCAACUCAUCUGGAA